CCCCGCGAGUCGGCGCUUUUGGCCCCGCGGGAGGGGCCGGGCUCGGUGAGCGACUGGCGGGGGCUCGGGUCCGAGUCCAGGGGGCGACGUGGGCCGCGGACACCGCCAGCCACGGGCCCUGCGUCCCUCCAGGGAGCCGUGUUUCGGUUCAUGAGGCCUCGGGCUGUGAGCUUAGAUGAGAAAAGCAUCAUUCAAGCUCAGAUUCGUGUUGAAGCCUGCCACAAGGUCCACCUGUUGUUGUGGGUUUGUGGGUGACCAGGGGUUACCCCCAGCAGUGUGUGAGAAUGAAGAGUGUGGGCCACUGUGUCUCUGUUGACCUGCCAGAUAGGAAAUAGCGCCAGAGUUGCUGCAAUCCACGUCUCCCUGGAAUUCAGGAGCAGCUUGGCUGGAAGGCUCUGGCUGGAAGCUUGCAGAAGGCUGUCAGCUGGGUCUGCAUCAUCUGAAGGCUCAACGGGUACCGGGGGCCACUCCAUGGCCUGCGAGUCAGAGCUGGCCGUCGGUGGGAGGCCUCAGUUCCUCUCCACAUAGGCCUCUCCACAGGGCCACUUGAGCAUCUUCCCACCAUGGCAACUGGUGUCCUCUAGAGCAACAUCCAGGAGACCAAGGCGGAAGCAGCUGUAGUGCCUUCUAGGACCUGGUCCUGAAAGUCACCCCUGCACCCACCCCCGCUGUCUCCUCAGCCAUAUUCUGCUGGUCACACAGGUCAGCUCUAAUUCCGUGUGUGCGUCAGGCCUACACAGGGUGUGAGCACCGGGAGGCUGGGAUCGUCAAGGGCUCGUUAGGAAGCGGUUACCACAGAGGGGACAGGGGAGGAGGUGUGAAGUUUAAAGAGAGGAGAGGAGGUUUGACGAGUGGGAAGCCAUGCUGACCUGUGGGAUCGCCCUGCAGGCUGAGGGUUCUUUACACGUUGGUGACCGUGUUAUUCCAGAGUGGCAGCGUCACAGCCUUUGCACAGGGUGGUCUGACCGAAUGUCCCCUGGAGCAGGUGG
rnacentral:lncRNA from 1 species